UACGGAGGGUGCAAGCGUUAAUCGGAAUUACUGGGCGUAAAGCGCGCGUAGGUGGCUUGAUAAGCCGGUUGUGAAAGCCCCGGGCUCAACCUGGGAACGGCAUCCGGAACUGUCAAGCUAGAGUGCAGGAGAGGAAGGUAGAAUUCCCGGUGUAGCGGUGAAAUGCGUAGAGAUCGGGAGGAAUACCAGUGGCGAAGGCAGCCCCCUGGGCCUGUUACUGACGCUGAGAUGCGAAAGCGUGGGGAGCGAACGGG
rnacentral:rRNA from 1 species